rnacentral:lncRNA from 1 species
CCUGGAGAUGCCACACACCAGCCCAGGCCCACCUCUGAUGGACAAAGCUCCUGGGAGACUGGCACAUCGUGCGCUGGGCAGGAGACUUGACUAUUCCCGAGGAGAGGAAGACCCACCCGCUGCCUCCCUUCAAGUUCGUCAGAAACAAGCUCAACAAGCUGGAGUUCAGGAUGAACCUCAUGAAACCCAUAGGAUGCAUUCAGUUCCAAAUGAUCCUGGAUGUAGCCUCCCGGGGCACCUUUCAAACCGGUAAGUGGCCAAAUAUGCAUUCUUUCUUUCAGUAGGGUCUGCAGAAGGACACCUGAAGGCCAAGUGGCUUGUGUUGCCCACAGGUUGGAGGCACACCAUCUCUGUCCACUUCUUGCCAGGGAAGGAUCACGCCAUUGCCUACUUCAAGGGCAAGAUACAGCAAACCUACCAGAUGACGAUGCUCAUGGGUGUGCUCCAGCCUCUGGACCGUGUGGAGUUGGGUGUGAACCUCCAGGGUGCCGGCAGACAGGGUGCAGUGCCUUCCAGUCCAGCUAUCUGCAGUUCCCACCCAGGCAGCCAUUUCUGGGACUCCUGGACUCUCGGUGGGAGAGGACCCCUCCCUAGAGGCCGCACCCUGGAGGAAGACCCAGAGGCUCUGAGCAUCUUUGAGAAGUUUGUGAAAGACAAAGGGCUGAACAAGAUCACUGCCCCUCCCCACCUUGGUAACCAGGGGCCUCCUUUCUCCUCCCUUCACCUGUGAUCUCCGUCACCACGGCUGGGCCUUUGGGUCUCCUUCCUCCUAUUAGAUGAUGACCACCUGUUCUCAUCCCUUGUGUCUUUUGGGUCUGCAGAAGCCUGCAAGUUGCCCAGAGAGUCCUAGAGCAGGAGGGGGCUGCAGAGCACCCCGGAGGAUGGAGCUGAGAACCCUGGCCACCCUUUCCCUCCCACAAGCAACUCCCUGUGGCAAGAAAGAGCAGGGCCCAGCCCACGCCGCCUCACACCUCGUCCUAAUAAAGCUGGACAAUGGCCCCUGGCCACAUGAGAAACCCCGAG